UCAGCUAGGGGAGCCUUCGGGCUGAGAGAACAUUGUGUUGACCCUCACUACUUGAUCCGGACCAUACCGGCGUAAGGAAGCAAAAUAAUC
rnacentral:ncRNA from 1 species